rnacentral:rRNA from 1 species
GUAGGUGGCAAGCGUUGUCCGGAAUUAUUGGGCGUAAAGCGCGCGCAGGCGGUUCUUUAAGUCUGAUGUGAAAGCCCACGGCUCAACCGUGGAGGGUCAUUGGAAACUGGAGAACUUGAGUACAGAAGAGGAAAGCGGAAUUCCACGUGUAGCGGUGAAAUGCGUAGAGAUGUGGAGGAACACCAGUGGCGAAGGCGGCUUUCUGGUCUGUAACUGACGCUGAGGCGCGAAAGCGUGGGGGAGCAAACAGGAUUAGAUACCCUGGUAGUCCACGCCGUAAACGAUGAGUGCUAAGUGUUAGGGGGUUUCCGCCCUUAGUGCUGCAGCUAACGCAUUAAGCACUCCGCCUGGGAGUACGGCCGCAAGGCUG